rnacentral:rRNA from 1 species
GGUUAAGUUAGAAAGGGCGCACGGUGGAUGCCUUGGCACUAGGAGCCGAAGAAGGACGGGACUAACACCGAUAUGCUUUGGGGAGCUGUACGUAAGCGUUGAUCCAGAGAUUUCCGAAUGGGGGAACCCACUAUCUUUAGUCGGAUAGUAUCCUUACGUGAAUACAUAGCGUGAGGAAGGCAGACCCAGGGAACUGAAACAUCUAAGUACCUGGAGGAAGAGAAAGAAAAAUCGAUUUCCUGAGUAGCGGCGAGCGAAACGGAAAGAGCCCAAACCAAGAAGCUUGCUUCUUGGGGUUGUAGGACACUCUAUACGGAGUUACAAAAGAAAGUUAUAAAUGAAGCGGUCUGGAAAGGCCCGCCAAAGACGGUAACAGCCCGGUAGUUGAAAUGGCUUUCCCUCCAGAGUGGAUCCUGAGUACGGCGGAACACGUGAAAUUCCGUCGGAAUCCGGGAGGACCAUCUCCCAAGGCUAAAUACUCCCUAGUGACCGAUAGUGAACCAGUACCGUGAGGGAAAGGUGAAAAGCACCCCGGAAGGGGAGUGAAACAGUUCCUGAAACCGUGUGCCUACAAGUAGUUAGAGCCCGUUAAUGGGUGAUAGCGUGCCUUUUGUAGAAUGAACCGGCGAGUUACGAUUUGUUGCAAGGUUAAGCGGAAAAAGCGGAGCCGUAGCGAAAGCGAGUCUGAAUAGGGCGCAUAAGUAACAGGUCGUAGACCCGAAACCAGGUGAUCUACCCAUGUCCAGGAUGAAGGUAAGGUAAUACUUACUGGAGGUCCGAACCCACGCACGUUGAAAAGUGCGGGGAUGAGGUGUGGGUAGCGGAGAAAUUCCAAUCGAACUUGGAGAUAGCUGGUUCUCUCCGAAAUAGCUUUAGGGCUAGCCUCGAGGUAAAGAGUCAUGGAGGUAGAGCACUGUUUGGACUAGGGGCCCUUCUCGGGUUACCGAAUUCAGAUAAACUCCGAAUGCCAUGUACUUAUACUCGGGAGUCAGACUGCGAGUGAUAAGAUCCGUAGUCGAAAGGGAAACAGCCCAGACCACCAGUUAAGGUCCCCAAAUAUAUGUUAAGUGGAAAAGGAUGUGGGGUUGCUUAGACAACCAGGAUGUUGGCUUAGAAGCAGCCACCAUUGAAAGAGUGCGUAAUAGCUCACUGGUCGAGUGACCCCGCGCCGAAAAUGUACCGGGGCUAAACAUAUUACCGAAACUGUGGAUGAACCUCUUUAGAGGUUCGUGGUAGGAGAGCGUUCUAAGGGCGGUGAAGUCAGACCGGAAGGACUGGUGGAGCGCUUAGAAGUGAGAAUGCCGGUAUGAGUAGCGAAAGAAGGGUGAGAAUCCCUUCCACCGAAUAUCUAAGGUUUCCUGAGGAAGGCUCGUCCGCUCAGGGUUAGUCGGGACCUAAGCCGAGGCCGAUAGGCGUAGGCGAUGGACAACAGGUAGAGAUUCCUGUACCAGUGCUAAUUGUUUAACCGAUGGGGUGACACAGAAGGAUAGGGAAUCGCACGAAUGGAAAUGUGCGUCCAAGCAGUGAGUGUGAG